rnacentral:rRNA from 1 species
GAUCCUGGCUCAGGAUGAACGCUGGCGGCGUGCUUAACACAUGCAAGUCGAACGAAGCACUUUUUCUUGAUUCUUCGGAUGAAGGAGAUUGUGACUGAGUGGCGGACGGGUGAGUAACGCGUGGGUAACCUGCCUCAUACAGGGGGAUAACAGUUAGAAAUGACUGCUAAUACCGCAUAAGCGCACGGUACCGCAUGGUACAGUGUGAAAAACUCCGGUGGUAUGGGAUGGACCCGCGUCUGAUUAGCUGGUUGGCGGGGUAACGGCCCACCAAGGCGACGAUCAGUAGCCGACCUGAGAGGGUGACCGGCCACAUUGGGACUGAGACACGGCCCAAACUCCUACGGGAGGCAGCAGUGGGGAAUAUUGCACAAUGGGCGAAAGCCUGAUGCAGCGACGCCGCGUGAACGAAGAAGUAUUUCGGUAUGUAAAGUUCUAUCAGCAGGGAAGAUAAUGACGGUACCUGACCAAGAAGCACCGGCUAAAUACGUG